GAAUGAAAACGUGAACAAAUGCGCACGGCUUAGUGUAAAAAUAAAGCUUAAAGAUUUAAGAACGCAAAAAACUGUAAAAAUAAUUAACUACGCAAUUCGAAUUCGAAAUUCGAACAUGCAUUGCACACCGCACAACAAAGUUUACGAAUAAACUAGAAAGAUAUAAAACCAACAGAACAGUCGAGUGGAAAGCAACAGAGCUGCUAAGUAGUCACAGCGAAGAAUACUGAUAAUAUUUAAAAAAAAAUCGUCUCGCGUUUUAAUUAUUUACAUUAAAAAUGGGUUGUCCAGGUUGUUGUGAUCAUUGCAAAUGCACCGAUACCAAAUGCGGCGAUAACUGCAAGUGCGAUCAGGGCUGCAAAUGUGCCUGUAAAAAAACCUCCAAGGAUGAUUGCUGCAAAAAGUGAAACGCGAAGUGAUAAUGAACACUUAACGGAUGUACUCGUAUAGCCAUAAAUGUAUUAAUUAUUUUACAAAAAAUAUGCGAAUAUAAUAACAAUAAAAUUUAAUUUAACUAAUAAAGA